AGCGAACGCUGGCGGCAGGCUUAACACAUGCAAGUCGAACGGGCACUUCGGUGCUAGUGGCAGACGGGUGAGUAACGCGUGGGAACGUACCUUUCGGUUCGGAAUAAUUCAGGGAAACUUGGACUAAUACCGGAUACGCCCUUCGGGGGAAAGAUUUAUCGCCGAUAGAUCGGCCCGCGUCUGAUUAGCUAGUUGGUGAAGUAAUGGCUCACCAAGGCGACGAUCAGUAGCUGGUCUGAGAGGAUGAUCAGCCACAUUGGGACUGAGACACGGCCCAAACUCCUACGGGAGGCAGCAGUGGGGAAUAUUGGACAAUGGGCGCAAGCCUGAUCCAGCCAUGCCGCGUGAGUGAUGAAGGCCUUAGGGUUGUAAAGCUCUUUUGUCCGGGAAGAUAAUGACUGUACCGGAAGAAUAAGCCCCGGCUAACUUCGUGCCAGCAGCCGCCGUAACAC
rnacentral:rRNA from 1 species